rnacentral:rRNA from 1 species
AACGAACGCUGGCGGCAGGCCUAACACAUGCAAGUCGAGCGAAGCCUUCGGGCUUAGCGGCGGACGGGUGAGUAACGCGUGGGAACGUGCCCUUUGGUACGGAAUAGCCCCGGGAGACUGGGAGUAAUACCGUAUGUGGUCGAGAGACGAAAGAUUUAUCGCCAAAGGAUCGGCCCGCGUUGGAUUAGGUAGUUGGUGGGGUAAUGGCCUACCAAGCCGACGAUCCAUAGCUGGUUUGAGAGGAUGAUCAGCCACACUGGGACUGAGACACGGCCCAGGCUCCUACGGGAGGCAGCAGUGGGGAAUCUUAGACAAUGGGGGAAACCCUGAUCUAGCCAUGCCGCGUGAUCGAUGAAGGCCUUAGGGUUGUAAAGAUCCUUCAGUGGGGAAGAUAAUGACUGUACCCACAGAAGAAGCCCCGGCUAACUCCGUGCCAGCCGCCGCAGUAAAAC